rnacentral:rRNA from 1 species
AGGAGACGCGCAGCUAGGCAGAACAACGUGCAUGGGGAAUAUCGGCGUGCAGCCGGCGGUCCG